UGUGACUGGAGUCAUGUCAGUGAUUUAAAUCACACAGGGAGGAAGCCCCAGAUGACCGAUCCUGUUUGGUAUCAAGGUGGGUGAAAAAUCUAUGGCUAAAGUUGAAGCAGCAUUUAACACUUAUAGGUAAGUUAAAGCUAAUAAUGAAAAUUAGAUUGCACUAAAUUAAGUUGCACAAUGAAUCAUCGCAGCCAUUCCUAAUAACAAUUGUUCUUAGACCAGUGGAGUUUUGUCAAGAAUAAUGGAUGUCUAUUUCUCUUACAAGUUCUGAAUUCUCCGUUCUGUAUUCUUUUUACUGCAGCUAAUCACAGCGUAUUGAAUGCAAACUCUUAUCUUUCAGCUUUUAGAGCCAAUUCUCAAUGCCACUGAAGUUAACACUGUCUGUGGGACCAGAAGUCAGCUGAAUUGAACUUUGACUUUGAAGAUUAAUAUUAACCAUUGAGAGAUGGAAAGAGAGACUAGAAAUCAAGGCUUAGGCAAAAGCUGUUCAGCUGAUGUGCUUCUUAAAGUAAUAUUGCCUGUGGGUUUCAGAAAAACCUGCAACUCUUUCUGUAAAAGCAGAGCUGAACGUUUAGUUAAUGUAAAUUGGAGUAGCCCUCCUCAGAGUGCUCUUUUCUGUCUCUUCAGAGACAGAAAAUCUGAAGUCUUUUUUUAAUUUAACUUCCACGUAUCAACGUGUAUUUUUUGCCUUGUUCUUUAAAACAUAGAUACCAAUGGUUGUAUUGUAAGAAAGGCACAAUAUCAUCUCGCUUUAGCUCCCUAUACGACAGGGAUGCAUUUUUUACUGUUUUGUGUGCUUUUAAAUCUGCAGAUGAGUGGGAGAGAACUGAAUGAAGCUCAUGAGCUGGCCAUUUGCUUUGAGUUGAACUCAACAAGAGAUUACUCUGACAAAUCUUCCAAAGUAGUCAUCGUGCACAGGCCAUUGGGAAAAGUCGUAGCAACCCACACUGAUGGAUAUUCCCUCUUUGUGAGAGUGACAGGUAGAGAACUGGCAUAAGUGAAACACUGAGGACACCAACAUGUGCCUUGAAGAGGACAUGCUGAUCUUGUGCAUCGCUGCAGCUUUUCCCACUGUGAAUCCCCAGUAGAACAAAUCACCACAGAAAAGUCAACAUAUCCAGAAGUGAAGAUGUUGAAGCACCACGCUUGUAUUUGAGUGCAUGUGGGAGGGACAGCAUCUAAUUCAGUACCUGCUUGCCCAGCGUCCUUAUCUACAGACUUCAGUGUGCACACAAAACAUGGGGCAAGCGUGUUUAUCAGAGCACACAGAAUUGUACCUGCCAAGCUCAGAGAUCUCUUACAGGUGCUUUUAAAAUGAGCUUUAAAAUCAUCCUGUAAUCACUGGGAGAACAGCGGGCUGAUAUGCAGCAGUGAUGGCCAGUUGCCUAGAAUAUCAGUUCUUCUUCAAUAACUUUCGUAUGCCAACGAUGAACUUAUAAACAGUUAUUUUCUUUAUUCAUUGUCUGCUUAUUGGUGUCAUGCCCUCGUGAUGACUCCUGCUAAAAGGGGUGACAUAAGGUAGCUCAGAAUAAAGUUUUUGUGUGCAAACAGGGCUCAUCUGUGUAUCCAUGCACACAUUUUUUAAUUGCUCCUUUGAAGCCGUCCAUUCAGAGGCAGUAACCAAGCAUCUAGGAAGUAUAAAAACAACAAAGAAGUGUUCAGAUAUUUCUCAUGAAGCAGAUUUUGUAGUUAGUUCUCAUUCUUUUUUCUUCCCGCUUAAACUGAAUUUAGCUCCUCUGAUCAGAGCCAAAUUGACAGCUUUGAAUACUAAAGUAAUCUGCUUGCUCACGGGAGAAUUACAGCAGGGAGAGCCACAGGACAGCUUUCCUCACCCACUCGCAGAGGCUGGUUCAUCCCCACGGUCCAGCAAGCUAACACGACACUCAGCAGAGCUGCCUGAUGCUGUGACUUGUUCUGAGUGGGGACUGAUCUGAGAAAAAGGAAUCCUUUCAUACCAGUCAGCACAUAGUCUGGAAGUGACGCUCAGGGUAGCAUUGCUGAGAGGUGUCUGCACCUUAGUUCUCCAAAAUUAUCCAUGCAAUGACCAGUGGAAGUCCGAAAAGCCAACAGAAUGUGUGCUUUUGUCAGGAGGGGUGUGGAGAGUAAGACAGAAGGCACUAUUUUGCAUUGGUACAUACAGCCUGGGUGCACCUCUGACAUGGAUGUUGUGUGCAGUUCUGCUUUCCCCAUCUCAAGAAGAACAUAGUGGAGUCAGAGAAGAGGCAUUAAAAUGGUAAUGGUAGUGGAGCAGCUGCCUAAUGAAAAAGAGUAAAAGGCAGAAACUCUUCAGUUUGGAGAGAAGGCUGAGGAAGGCACACUUGGGAUUUAGAAAGUCAUGAAGAUGGCAGAUAAGGUGAAUGUAGAACUGUUAUCCACCAAACCCUGCAGUGCUAGAACCAGGGGGAACUCGUUGAAACUAGUAGGAAAAGAUUUAAAACAGAUACAGUGCUUACACAAUGGAGACUGAACUUCUGGGAUUUGUUGCCACAGGAGGCUGUGGGGCAGACAGUAUCAGCAGACUCAAAAAGGUCCAUAAAUAACUACCAGAGGGAAUAGGCAGGGACAUAUCCUUUAACAUCCUUAAUACAACAAUUGCAGAUGCUGGGGAGUUUGAAGAGAAAGACCCACAGAAAGUGGCCAGACUCACAUUCUCUCUGCACAGAGCAUUUGUUGUUGGCUUGAGAAAAAGAGGGUUAGAUGGACUACUGGCAGGACCAUGCAAGAAGCUUCCUCAUGUGGGACUGAGGCUCCUGUCUCCGUGCCACAGAGAAGAGAAGAAUGCUCCUGAAGGUGAUUCAGAGCAGAACCUACCUUUUCCUGCCCUGAAUCAUCUGUUAGAAAACCCUAUCUCUCACCAUCAAUUUCACAGGAAAUCUACCCUAGACAAAAGUUAGUCCUGUGAAUAACCAUCUUAGUCACAACUGACACAGGUUGGAUUUGAACUGCUAAUCUGGAACUGAAAAAAGUGUCAUAUACCAAACACCAGUUGUUCCACACACCCCCACCUCUGGUCAGUUCAUUGAGGGUUUUUAAGAGGAAAAAAAAGUAUUAGAGUUCAGUACUAUUACAAAGAUUAUUGGCUGACUAUGAUCACAUCCAAUUGGAAGCAUUUCCUCAGCCAGUGAUGCUGAAACAGUACGUCAAACUCUGGUUAAGAUGAAAAGUUAAAAAAACAUCUUUUGUAUAUGUUAGACUGCUUUCUCAUAGUCUCAAAGCUGAAUCACUGGGAAAGACUGCUUCUGCUGUCUAGCUGUGAAGCUGUUCUGAAUUGCCCAGGUAUGGCUGGAUGUCUCAAUGUUUGUGGGAAGCCUGCUGCAUGUCACCAUCUGGAAACAGAAACAGCAGGAGAGGCUGGAAUUGCAGUAGGACAUCUGAAUCAGAAAAGGGAGGUGAAAGUCAGGAGGUGAGUGUUCCACACGAAGCUACCUCAGUAGCUUCCUUUGACCACUCCAUCUCAUAGAAAUGAAAUACCUGCUUGUACGACACAGAAUAAGCUGUAUUUCAUUACAAAAUAUCCACAUAGAAUAAGCUGCUUCAACAAGCAAAUACAGACAUUUUUAUAUUACUUGGAGUUGGAGAUGCUGGGAGACAUUUUCAGUCAUCAGCUGAAAAUCUGAUAGCUCUAGGAAAAGGAAAGUUCCAAAGCAUAUUCUGGGAUUCAAAAAUGGACUGAAAUACAGUAAUAACUGCACAAAAUUUAAACCUGUCUUUUAAAAUGUGUUUGAACUUCAAAGUAUCAGGGUCUCUGGUAGCAUGAAUUCCUGGUACUCAGACAGUACGUGACAGGCAAAAAUCUUUGCAGAAAUCUACUGAUUAAUCUCCGGUAUAGGUAAGUGUUGAAACUGGUAUUUGUUGUCUUUCUUUUUUAACUUGGAAGAUACAAAGUGGAAGUUUGCUCAUAGCACUUGGUUGGCUGCCCAGGACUUCCAAAGAAAUCCAUGGUUGGAAGGAUGGAAAGGAGAACUUGCCAUGGUUUCCAAGCUCUUCUUCCUGCUGGCUAAAAUAUGUUGCUACCUGCUUUGGAACGGAAAAACCACUCCACGCUGUGCAAAACCUCCAACAAAAAAUGUUUAGAAUAUGGUUAACUGUUUUAUGAUAGAACAUUUCUGGAGCCUGGAGAAGCCUCCAUGGUAACCUGACAGCAGCUUUCGGUAUCUAAAGAGGGGCUACAAGAAAGAAGGGGACAGACUAUACAGCAGGGUCUGUGGUGACAGGACAAGGGGAAACAGUUUCAAACUAAAAGAGAGGAGAUUCAGGUUGUAUGUAAGGAAGAAGUUUUUAUAAUGAAGGUGGUUGAGGCGUUGGCACGGGUUGCCCAGAGAGGUGGUGCUCCAUGCUCCAUCUCUGGAGAUGCUCAAGGUCAGGAUGGAGGUGGCUCAGAGCACCUGUCUGAGCUAUAAGUGUCCCUGUCCAUUGCAGGGGAGUUGGACUAGAUAACCUUUAAGGGUCCCUUCCAACUCAAACAGUUCUAUGUCUCUAUGAUUUCAAUAUCUGUAUACUUUGCAUCUCAGUUUCUGGCUGAGCCUGCACGUAUUACUAUUGGGACCAUUAUUCACUGUUUAGUUCAGAAAAUCCCUUUUGUUUCUCUCACAAGAUGUCUAUGAGAAAAUGAGAAGCACGGUGUUAUUAGUGUUUGGACAAAUAAAUUGUUGGCUUGCACACUC